AAAAAAAAAGAGGAAUACAUCGGAAUCUACUUUUUCGUGGGGGAUAACGUAGGGAAACUUCCGCUAAUACCGCAUACGACCUACGGGUGAAAGCAGGGGAUCUUCGUACCUUGCGCGAUUGAAUGAGCCGAUGUCGGAUUAGCUAGUUGGCGGGGUAAAGGCCCCCCAAGGCGACGAUCCGUAGCUGGUCUGAGGGGAUGAUCAGCCACACUGGAACUGAGACACGGUCCAGACUCCUACGGGAGGCAGCAGUGGGGAAUAUUGGACAAUGGGCGCAAGCCUGAUCCAGCAAUACCGCGUGGGUGAAGAAGGCCUUCUUUUUUUUUUAAUGUUACGUCGC
rnacentral:rRNA from 1 species